rnacentral:rRNA from 1 species
UACGUAGGGUGCAAGCGUUAAUCGGAAUUACUGGGCGUAAAGCGUGCGCAGGCGGCUUGCAAGACAGAUGUGAAAUCCCCGGGCUCAACCUGGGAACUGCAUUUGUGACUGCAAGGCUAGAGUACGGUAGAGGGGGAUGGAAUUCCGCGUGUAGCAGUGAAAUGCGUAGAUAUGCGGAGGAACACCGAUGGCGAAGGCAAUCCCCUGGACCUGUACUGACGCUCAUGCACGAAAGCGUGGGGAGCAAACGAGG